AACGACUCUCGCCAACGGAUAUCUCGGCUCUCGCAUCGAUGAAGAACGUAGCGAAAUGCGAUACUUGGUGUGAAUUGCAGAAUCCCGUGAACCAUCGAGUCUUUGAACGCAAGUUGCGCCCAAAGCCUUCCGGCCGAGGGCACGUCUGCCUGGGCGUCACGC
rnacentral:rRNA from 1 species